UACGGGAGGCAGCAGUGGGGAAUAUUGCACAAUGGGCGAAAGCCUGAUGCAGCUAUGCCGCGUGUAUGAAGAAGGCCUUAGGGUUGUAAAGUACUUUCAUCGGGGAGGAAAAACAAAACUAAUAAUUUUAUUUCUUGACGUUACCCGAAAAAGAAGCACCGGCUAACUCCGUGCCAGCAGCCGCGGUAAUACGGAGGGUGCUAGCGUUAAUCAGAAUUACUGGGCGUAAAGAGCACGUAGGUGGUUUUUUUAAGUCAGAUGUGAAAUCCCUGGGCUUAACCUAGGAACUGCAUUUUGAAACUGAAAUACUAGAGUAUCGUAGAGGGAGGUAGAAUUCCAGGUGUAGCGGUGAAAUGCGUAGAUAUCUGGAGGAAUACCUGUGGCGAAAGCGGCCUCCUAAACGAAUACUGACACUGAGGUGCGAAAGCGUGGGGAGCAAACAGGGAUUAGAUACC
rnacentral:rRNA from 1 species